UACGUAGGGGGCAAGCGUUGUCCGGAUUUACUGGGCGUAAAGAGCGCGCAGGCGGUCGUUCAAGUCGCGUGUGAAAGCCCCCGGCUCAACUGGGGAGGGUCACGCGAUACUGAUCGACUCGAAGGCAGGAGAGGGUAGUGGAAUUCCCGGUGUAGAGGUGAAAUUCGUAGAUAUCGGGAGGAACACCAGUGGCGAAGGGCGGCGAAUCUGGGAAGAUACGUGACGCUGAGGUGCGAAAGCGUGGGGAGCAAACAGGG
rnacentral:rRNA from 1 species